ACUCCUACGGGAGGCAGCAGUGGGGAAUAUUGGACAAUGGGCGAAAGCCUGAUCCAGCCAUGCCGCGUGUGUGAAGAAGGCCCUCGGGUUGUAAAGCACUUUCAGCGAGGAAGAACGCCUAGUGGUUAAUACCCCAUUAGGAAAGACAUCACUCGCAGAAGAAGCACCGGCUAACUCCGUGCCAGCAGCCGCGGUAAUACGGAGGGUGCAAGCGUUAAUCGGAAUUACUGGGCGUAAAGCGCGCGUAGGUGGCUUGAUAAGCCGGUUGUGAAAGCCCCGGGCUCAACCUGGGAACGGCAUCCGGAACUGUCAAGCUAGAGUGCAGGAGAGGAAGGUAGAAUUCCCGGUGUAGCGGUGAAAUGCGUAGAGAUCGGGAGGAAUACCAGUGGCGAAGGCGGCCUUCUGGACUGACACUGACACUGAGGUGCGAAAGCGUGGGUAGCAAACAGGAUUAGAUACCCUGGUAGCGAGUAG
rnacentral:rRNA from 1 species